CAUGUAUACCACACUUUGUCAAAGAUGAUGACCAAACUCACCAUGAAAACUCCAUUAUUGUCUCAAGUAGAAGAACAUCACAAUAAGCAGCAGCAGAAGAAGAAAUGGAGAAUAACUCUGUUCUACUUGUUCAUCAUGCUAAUCAUCGUUAUUAUCGUUACAUUUGGAGGCACUUCAAGUUCCGUACGGUUGUUUAAAAAGAGAGUACAAGUUGGCGAUAAUACAGUUGAGUCUUUGGGAGCAGUGGUUGCUGCUGAUGAUGCUCGAUGCUCCGAAAUCGGAGCAUCGGUCCUUCAACAGGGCGGUCAUGCGGUUGAUGCUGCUGUGGCUACUGCUCUGUGUCUAGGAGUUGUGAAUCCGAUGGCUAGCGGUGUUGGAGGUGGUGGUUUUAUGGUGGUCCGGUCAGCGGCUACUUCGCAAACGCUUGCAUUUGAUUUUAGGGAAACUGCUCCUUUGGCUGCUUCAGAGAACAUGUAUGAGAACAAUCUUGACGCCAAAUAUAAAGGAGCACUGUCAAUGGGUGUUCCCGGAGAGAUAUCCGGUCUUCAUAACGCUUGGUUAAAAUACGGGCGAUUACCUUGGAAAACACUGUUUGAUCCAGCCAUUCGGCUUGCGAAAGACGGGUUCUUGGUUGCACCUUAUCUCGCUGGUAAAAUAUCAAGCAAUGAAGCGAAAAUAAAAGGUGAUCCAGGUUUACAACAAGUGUUUGCUCCAAACGGGGAGCUUUUAAAAGCCGGGGACAUUUGCUAUAACCGAAAACUCGGGUUGACUUUAGAAGUUGUAGCGAAUGAAGGGCCGAAAGCGUUUUAUGAUGGGGUGAUCGGGGAGAAGUUGGUUAAGGACGUUCAAGAUGCAGGCGGGAUUUUGACAAUGGAAGAUUUGAGGAACUAUGAUGUUGAGGUUACGGAUGCGGUUGCGGUGGAUACCAUGGGGUACACUAUAUUAGGGAUGCCGCCCCCGUCAAGUGGUACGUUGGGGCUAGCUCUGGUGUCAAACAUCUUAGAAAGCUACGAGAAUUCAAAUGCUGCAAAAGGAGCGUUGGGAUUACAUCGUUUCAUUGAAGCAUUAAAGCACAUGUUUGCUCUUCGGAUGGAUUUGGGAGACCCGGAUUAUGUUAAUAUAAGUAAGACAGUAGCUGAUAUGCUUUCACCCUCGUUCGCAAAGAAUAUUCAAGAGAAGAUUUUGGACAACACAACCUUUCCUUCCAUAUACUACAUGCCUAGGUGGAGUCAGCUUCAAGACCAUGGCACGAGUCAUUUUUGCAUAGUAGAUAAUGAUAGAAAUGUGGUAUCAAUGACGACGACUGUGAAUUACGCCUUUGGAGGCGGGGUUUUGUCUCGUUCCACAGGCAUUGUGCUGAACAACGAGAUGGGCGAUUUCUCGGUUCCUACAGAGAUAUCGUCAGAUACCCUCCCUCCUUCGCCUUCAAAUUUUAUUAGACCGAACAAAAGACCCUUGUCGUCCAUGACACCGAUUAUCGUUCUUAAGUUUUACAGGAUGAACAGUUAGCAGGAGUAAUUGGAGGCAGUGGUGGAAUGAACAUUAUUCCCGCAGUCGCACAAGUUUUCAUUAAUUAUUUUAUCUUGGGCAUGGACCCUUCGAAUGCAGUUCAGUCGCCACGCGUCUACCACAAGUUGAUACCAAAUGUCGUGUCUUAUGAAAAUUGGACAGUUAUUGAUGGUGAUCACAUCGAACUCUCGGAUGAUCGAAUACAAUUUUUGGUAGAAAGGGGUCAUCAGUUGGAACCAAAAGCUGGUGGUGCUAUUUGUCAACUUAUCGUUCAAACGCUAAAGAAACCGAAUGAGAACAGAAAACUGAGGUAUGAUCAUCAGCAGGUUUUGAGGGGGAUGCUUACUGCUGUUAGUGACCCAAGGAAAGAUGGCCGGCCGGCUGCUUGCUAAUCGUUGUUGUUUAAAUCUGAUGUAAAUUUGUAACCAUUGAUUGUAAAUUUGUAAUAACCAUUGAAUGCACAUUCGUAAAUUAAUGAAAACGUUGAAGUAACUUGAAAAUUA